rnacentral:tRNA from 1 species
UUUUAAUAUGGCAGAUUAGUGCUAUAGAUCUAAAAUCUAUAAAUAAAGUUUUCUUUUAUUAAAA